UACAGAGGUCCCAAGCGUUGUUCGGAUUCAUUGGGCGUAAAGGGUGCGUAGGCGGCGCGGUAAGUCGGGUGGUGAAAUCUCCGGAGCUUAACUCCGAAACUGCAUUCGAUACUGCCGUGCUUGAGGACUGGAGAGGAGACUGGAAUUUACGGUGUAAGCGGUGAAAUGCGUAGAUAUCGAGAGGAACACCUGCGGCGAAGGCGGGUUGCUGGGCCGACACUGACGCUGAUGCGCGAAAGCCAGGGGAGCGAACGGG
rnacentral:rRNA from 1 species